rnacentral:rRNA from 1 species
UACGUAGGGUGCGAGCGUUGUCCGGAAUUACUGGGCGUAAAGAGCUCGUAGGUGGUUUGUCGCGUUGUUCGUGAAAACCGGGGGCUUAACCCUCGGCGUGCGGGCGAUACGGGCAGACUUGAGUACUGCAGGGGAGACCGGAAUUCCUGGUGUAGCGGUGAAAUGCGCAGAUAUCAGGAGGAACACCGGUGGCGAAGGCGGGUCUCUGGGCCGAUACUGACGCUGAGGAGCGAAAGCGUGGGGAGCGAACAGG